GGGGCUGGCCGGUUUUGACAGCAGGGCAAAUGGAUAUGUAAGCAUGUCGAGCCACGUACUAACCGCUCGUUAAUCUGGGGGUACGACCAAUAAAAGGCGAAUCUAAUUACGCUCUUGCUGCUUAAUUCACCAAGUGAAUUCUGCUUAAUCCUUGGCCAAGGUGCUGAGGACAAGACAUCUCUCGGCGAGCCUGCCUGGCGCUUUCCGAUCCAGAGGUGCACGUGAGUUCGGGCUAGUUCGGAAAAAGUCCUGUGUUCCGGGCAAAACUUAAAGGACUAAGAUCAACGUCGGAUGCCUAUUUCCAGUGUUGGUUCGAAAAUCAAUAACAGGCUAAACAUGUAGAAAGCUUAUCGGUUUCUUGUUUGGACGAGGGUUCGACUCCCUCCAGCUCCACAA
rnacentral:tmRNA from 1 species